GACGAACGCUGGCGGCGUGCCUAAUACAUGCAAGUAGAACGCACAGUUUAUACCGUAGCUUGCUCCACCAUAGACUGUGAGUUGCGAACGGGUGAGUAACGCGUAGGUAACCUGCCUGGUAGCGGGGGAUAACUAUUGGAAACGAUAGCUAAUACCGCAUAAUAUUGAUUAUUGCAUGAUAAUUGAUUGAAAGAUGCUAUUGCAUCACUACCAGAUGGACCUGCGUUGUAUUAGCUAGUAGGUGAGGUAACGGCUCACCUAGGCGACGAUACAUAGCCGACCUGAGAGGGUGAUCGGCCACACUGGGACUGAGACACGGCCCAGACUCCUACGGGAGGCAGCAGUAGGGAAUCUUCGGCAAUGGACGAAAGUCUGACCGAGCAACGCCGCGUGAGUGAAGAAGGUUUUCGGAUCGUAAAGAUCUGUUGUAAGAGAAGAACGGGUGUGAGAGUGGAAAGUUCACACUGUGACGGUAUCUUACCAGAAAGGGACGGCUAACUACGUG
rnacentral:rRNA from 1 species